rnacentral:rRNA from 1 species
CACGGGGGUUGCGAGCGUUGUCCGGAAUUACUAGGCGUAAAGGGCAGGCAGGCGGAUCCAUAAGUUUAUCGUUUAAGGCGUCGGCUUAACCGGCGUAGGGCGGUAGAUACUGUGGAUCUGGAAUGCGGUUGGGGAAGGCAGAAUUCCUGGUGUAGCGGUGGAAUGCGCAGAGAUCAGGAGGAAUACCGAAGGCGAAGGCAGUCUUCCAAGCCGUUAUUGACGCUCAACUGCGAAGGUGUGGGUAUCAAACAGGAUUAGAUACCCGCGUAGUCCCUGAG